CCCCCCCCACGAAUCUGAUUGUACAAUCUCCUUUUUGGAUCUACCAUCGAGUAUGUAAUAGAAGGGCCUUGGCGUAGAAGUUGUGAACGGUAUCGGUCGGCCCUCCUAUUACAGACUUGUUGGUAAAUUUUUAAAAUGAGAUUGUAACAAUCCGGCUUCAUCUACCGUAAAGCAUGUAAUAGAAGGGCAUCUGUCUAGAAAUGGAUCGGAUUGUAUCGGCUUUUCCUUUAUUUUUGGUUUAAAAUUGUAAAUGAAAUUGCAAUGUGUGUGGCCAGACUGAGCAAUCUGAUGGUACAAUCUCGUUUUUUUUCGAGUAUGUAUUAUAAGGGCAAUUGCGUAGAAGCUGAUUGGAUUGUAUGGGUUUUGCCCUCCUAUUAUGUCGUUUUUAGGUGAUUUGUAAAAUCUAUGGCCGGUCUUAUGCUAUACAAUCUGAUUGUACGAUCCUCCUUUUUCGAUCUGUUAUCAGGGCCUGUGUAAACGUUUUGCAUAGAAUCGGAUUGUAUAGGUUUUGUCCCCGUAUUGCAUACAUUUUGGUUAAAAAAAUUUAAAACGAAAUUUGUACAAUCCUCUACCGUCAAGUGUGUAUUAUAAGGGCAUUUGCAUAAAAAUCGAUUGAAUUUCAUUUUUUUUUGUCCUGAUUGGGUUUUGGUAAAUGUAAAUCGGAUUGUACGGUGUAUGGCCAGACUAAGGCUUGACGACGCAAUCCGAUUGUACAAUCUCCUAUUUGAUUUGCCAUCAAGUAUGUAUUAUAAGGGCAUUUGUGGAGGUUUUUUUUUUAUUUUUUUAUAGAUUGUAGUGUGUCCAGGCUAAAGCUAGCUAUGCAAUCUGAUUGUACAAUCGCCUUUCCGUCAAACUCUGUGGUGCAAGGUCCUGAUUUUGGUUCAAAUGGCUUGUUGUGUUUUUGUAGGUUUGACCAUUAUUGGUGAAUCUAAAGCAGAUUGUACAGUCAGCCUGGGGCUGGCCAUACACUAUACGGACAGAUUGUACAAUCGGAUUGCAGUGUGUAUGGCCGGGCUAUGCAAUCUGAUUGUACAAUCGCCUUUUGGAUCUACCUCUGUAGUACAAGGGGCUGCAUUUCAGUUCUUAUAUCGAAUGGCUUGUUUUUAGGUUUGUCCUUCUAUUACAUAGUUUACGGUAAAUCUAAUGGCCGUUGUAUAGUGUGUGGCCGGUCCCAGGCUGAUUGUACAAUCGCCUUUUAGAUCUACCGUCAACUCUGUAGUAUAAGAGCCUGAUUUCGGUUCUAUAUCGGAUGGCUUGUUUUAGGUUUGUCCUUCUAUUACAUAGAUUACGGUAAAUCUAAUGGCCAUUGUACAAUCUGGCUGUAUUUUUUAUGGCCAUUCCAAGGCUGAUAGUUUACGGUAAAUCUUAAAAGGAGAUUGUACAGUCAGCCUUGGGCCGGCCAUACACUAUACAACCAGAUUGUACAAUCGCCUUUAAAUCUACUGUCAACACUGUAGUAUAAGGGCCACAUUUUUUGGUUCUAUAUCGAAUGACUUGUUUUAGGUUUGGACUUCUAUUAUAUAAUAUACGGUAAAUCCUAAAGGAGAUUGUGCAAUCAGAUUGCAGUGUGUAUGGCCAGAUUGUACAAUCGCCUUUUAGAUCUACCGUCAGCUCUGUAGUAUAGGGACCUGAUUUUGGUUCUUAUAUCGGAUGGCUUGUUUUAGGUUUGUCCUUCUAUUACAAAGUUUAUGGUAAAUCUUAAAGGAGAAUCUGAUUGGUCCCCAGAAGCCCAAUGAGACGAGAUCUGUUCUUUACAGGGGAAUCCUUUUAUCGGUGGUCAGGGUCUCUCUUUUUUAGAAUUUGGUGCCCCCCUGGUGAGGGGAGGGGAGGGGGUGGAGCACAGCAGUAGGGGGUGUGGUCCCGUCAUUUCCCUCCCACAAUGGUUGGUGACAGAUCAGGUUCCUUUUCUAUGAACACAGCCGACUCCUCCCAGUCCUUUUGCUGCUGGACAGAUAUAAAGUGUAUUUUUUUUUUAUUAUUGCCCCUCCCCCCUGGUGUUAUUUGGCCCCUCCCCCCUGGUGUUAUUUGGCCCCUCCCCCCCCUGUCUGGUGUUAUUUGCCCCUCCCCCUGUGUGUUGGACGGGAAUAGCUGAACUUUCAUUCUUUUUUUAUUAUUUGGUCGCUGUGGUUUUUUGCAUUCGUUGUGCGCUUGAGACGUGUCCCGAGGUCCCUGGUAGCGGGGAGGUUUCCCGAGAGUGCCUUAUGUUCUGGGGGGAGGGGGCGUCGCCGUAUCUUUGGAUGUGUGGUGUGUGUGGGAAUAGGGGGAGGAGUCCCCCGGGUCUUAUUAGUUACUCCCUGUUUAUAACCUCGGAAAUCCUCGGGGGGAGUCAGACGCAGCUCGUUAUCUGUUAAUGAAGCUUUAUGUUGCACCACGCCCUGAGCAUCUGGUGGGGGGGGGGGGAGAGGGGGGUGGUAAUUGGUGUACACUGCAGCCCCCCCGGACCCAAAAACCCCCCCUUUUCACUCUUUAGAGAUGACAUUUUCUUUUUUACGUUGUGUGUGUUGUGUACGAUGUAGGUCAGGGUGCCACGCUGGGACUUGUAGUCCGCCGUUAUUAUCCGGGAGGGGGAGGAGUUUCCAGACCGGGGCGAUUCUCUGAUCUAUACAUGUAAUGAUGACACUGGAGCAGAGGGACUCGUAAGGGACUCCUGUUUUAUUUUUAUUUUUUUCUUCUUAUUUUUUAUUUUUAAGCUAUAGAGGUUUGUUGACGCAACAACAAUAAUCACAACAGCACUUCCAUGGAGAUCGAGUGACAUGAGCGAGGGGCCUAUUUAUAACGAUCGGCAAAAUAAACAGUUUUUUGUUUCUCAUUA